UUACUUAUCUGACAGAGAUGAUACUGCGAUCAUGAAGGUGAUUCAUCCAAAGUGAGGUUCUCCUCUCGCACACUGGCUAUUCUGACCUUUGUGAAUUCUCCAAACGCGGGACUGUCAACUGCACAAUUUAUGUUGGUGGGGAAAUGCGUGCGUGCUCUCCCCCC
rnacentral:snRNA from 1 species